CAGUCUUAAACAACUGAAUAUACUCCUCUAAGCGCCCAGUUUACUCAGCGAGUUUCCGACUUUGAACGCCUAGAAAGAAGAUCAUGUACCUGAAGGUAGCUGACAACAACCGGGCAGACACCCACCUUGCCUUCUUCAGUGAAGCUGUGAAUGAGCAUGGCUUUCCUCUGAGGAGAUCAUGGCGGAGAAAAUGUAGGUGUUGCAGAAUUAAUGUUCUCAGUUCGUGGAACUGACACCAACAGCUUCAUUGCAGGAAAAAGUGUACACAAUCAACGGUGAGUUUAACCUAAUUUGGAAGCUUUGUGUCUGUGCGCGCAUGCCUGUGCCUGUUGACCUGCCCAGGGUGUACCCUUCGUCUCACACUUUGACUGCUAGAGAUAGGCACCAGUCCUCCUGCAACCAUUCAAGACAUAACUCAAGUUGAAAACAGAUGUAUGGACAUGUUAAUGUGUGUGUAUAUUAUAAUUUUCUUUUAUUUAAUCCCCCUCCAAAUCCAGGAUCGAGCACCUCUGGCGUGAUGUCUUCAUGAGUGUUACUGGUUUAUAUUACAACAUCCUGCACUCUCUGGAAGACCAAGACUUGCUCGACAUCAGUAACAUCCUUCACCUGUUUUGUUGCCACUAUAUUGUCUCGCAUCCAGGCCAGCCUGGAUGUCUUUAGAGAUGCGUGGGACAACCAUCCAAUCAGGACAGAGGAAAACAUGACACCAAAUCAGCUGUGGCAUCUGGGCCAGGCUCUGAAUCCUGUUUCUGAUCCAGGGGCAAAUGGUAUACCGAUACCAGAGAUUGAAUGGGAGGAGAAUGGAUACAUGACUGAACCUCAUCCUGGGAUCAGUGUCCCUGUACUGGACAGUCCUCUUUCAGAUCAUGAAAUGUUGGAACUGCAGGACAACAUAAUCCGUUGCAACAUUCAGACUCUUGGGAGUAGACACAUAUCUUCACACUGUCCAGUAUGUUGAGAACUUACUUGAGGCUAGAUGAUUACAUGUGUGAAGAAGGAAGGAGAGAGAAGGUAGGGAGUUAGGAAGAAAGAAAACAAUUAAUGAGACAGGAAGGAAGGAAGUUAAAAAGUGAAGGAGUGGUCCAUUUUAAGGUUAAUGUACUGUAUAUUGUUAUUCAAGGGAUUUGCCGUCGUAACAAUGAAAUGCUAAAGGAUAGACCCCAAAAUAGAUUUCUAAAUUCAUUUAUAGUUGUGUAUUUCCCUUAAAGGCUUUAUCAGCCUGAUUUAUUUUAGACCAGGAAUGUAUUUGAAAAGGCUGCUGUCCACUUCAUCUAUGCUACAGUUCUUCAAAAUGUAGAUGUUCUAUCAUUGCUAGUGUUGGUUUAGUAACAUACAUCUUCCUGUGUAUCCAGCUCUAAUAAAAACAUUUAAAGGUGAAGCACCUAAUUAUCAGGAGAUCCAUCUCUUUUUACAUGUUAUUGUUUGAAUUUUGUCUCGUUUCAUAACUUUUGCUCAACAUUUAAGGGGAACUGUGUUACCCUGCGAUCAUCUUCAUUACACUUGAAAACUUGUACUAUACCUCCGUCCGUCUACUUAUUAAAUGGAAUAACAUGACAAGA